rnacentral:sRNA from 1 species
GGAUGAGAAAGGGAUCUGGCUGUAAUAUUUCAGUUCCCAUCCAAGACCAAGGCUCAAUGCACUCUUCCAGGUACUCUUCCCCUCUCACCACUUCGAGUAUGUCCCUCCAAUGCUUGGACAUAGAAGAUGACCUCCUCUAUGGGAGAGGGCCUCUUCUCAGUCAAUGGCCAGUGGGUGUUUUCCCACUGGAACUUCUAAACAAGCCCUUAAGGUCUUGCAUGCCUUUAGGACUGAAGCUCUGCCUUC